UUACCGAUACUUUCAAGCGCAACUGCGCAAGCAAGGGAACACCCAAGUAUGGUUUUUCGAGAAAAUCUGCUAUUGUAAUUUGAACUUCGAAACUUCAUCCAUGGCUAGCCAUUUGUGGCCAAAAUUAUUGACUGCUUCUCGCUCUCAACUUCGUCGCCAUAUUUCCUCCUCCGCUUCUCAAUUUCAAGCCCUUGACCCCUUCCACUGUUACCUCUCGUAGAGUGGUCGUCACCACACACCGGUUUGGGAAUGGUGAGACCGCUGGGUUGUGGAGUGGAAACAACGUGGAAGAGUCUGAUAGAGGGGGAAUGCAGGAUAAGGGCGAUUACUACUGAAGAUCUCUAGAUGAAUUCCUUUGACCGAGAAACCUAGCUACAUUCGAUCAAUUGACCUUAAAAGUUGCCGCAAUCGUGCCUUUCGGGUCCGACCUGGUUGAAUUCAACAAUACAUGUGGCUUCGUUCUAAGGAGUUCAGGACCAUAGGUCAAUUGCGAGAUUUAUCGGUUUUGUACUAUGUACUGCUGAUGAAGCUCUGAAGGAUGCAAUGUGGGAACCUUCUCAGCAAGAGCAGAAGGAAAGAACGGUAUUUGUUAAUUUUCUUU